GGUCAGGACCUUGUUAAUGUAAUCACUGUCUGCUUUCCUGUAAGGAUCCCCGCCCAGGCACCAGCAGAGAACCUGUCUGUGUCCUCCAUGGCUUUUGCGGGGAACUCAGAGGUGGUGGGAGGCCCAGGUCAGGGAGGAAGAGUGAGCUACAUCAGCACAGGAAAUGGAGUGAAGCAGUGUGCAGCUGCUGCCAGCCAGGCUGAGGCUUGAGGACUCACAUCUGGACAGAGAAGACAUUUUCCUCUCAGUGCGUCGGUACGCUUCAGCCACUGUAGGGGCGGGCAUGCUGUUGUCACGGCAGUCAGAUCCUGGACACGGCAGCUGACCUGCCUUACUUGGAUGUUAGCAGAAGCUUCUUCAAGGAUGACCAAAUGUUAGCCUUGCCUUGUGCCAAGCUCAGUGCAGAUAGAAGCCAGUACGCUGAAAGCUGAAAGAGAAACAAUCGAGAAGCAGUCCCCGUUCCGGGAAGAAGCAGCCAUCAUCACACAGAGGGUGUUCUCGCACAAGAAGAAAACCUUUUCCUUUAUGAGGAUGAAUUUUUACUGAAAAUCCUUCCUCUGCCUACAUGCAUGAGAAACAUUGGGCUGAUUGGACAUGCCACCUUAUUCAAUGACUGCCUGAUGGACAUGGUAAAGAAUAAUCUUAGAGAUUUCUGUAUAUUCUCCUGGAAACUACAACUAGACCCAUUAGAGAGAUCUGUGGAGCUCUACAAUGGGACCCUUGCUCCAGGAGCGAUCUCUACUCUGGUGUUAAGAUAAACCAAAUCCCGGUGAUGGAGACCCUUUUGUGCUAACUCAUGUAUGCUUCCACUGACCCAAACUGUGGGCAACCAGCUGCCUCUUAGGCCCACACUUCCGUAAAUCUCUCAGCAAAUUAUAUCUUGUACAACCCUA